AUUGAACGCUGGCGGCAUGCCUUACACAUGCAAGUCGAACGGCAGCACGGGUGCUUGCACCUGGUGGCGAGUGGCGAACGGGUGAGUAAUACAUCGGAACGUGCCCAGUCGUGGGGGAUAACUACGCGAAAGCGUAGCUAAUACCGCAUACGAUCUAAGGAUGACAGCGGGGGAUCGCAAGACCUCGCGCGAUUGGAGCGGCCGAUGGCAGAUAAGGUAGUUGGUGGGGUAAAGGCUUACCAAGCCUACGAUCUGUAGCUGGUCUGAGAGGACGACCAGCCACACUGGAACUGAGACACGGUCCAGACUCCUACGGGAGGCAGCAGUGGGGAAUUUUGGACAAUGGGCGCAAGCCUGAUCCAGCCAUGCCGCGUGCGGGAAGAAGGCCUUCGGGUUGUAAACCGCUUUUGUCAGGGAAGAAACGCUCUGGACUAAUACUCUGGGGUAAUGACGGUACCUGAAGAAUAAGCACCGGCUAACUACGUGCCAGCAGCCGCCGCUG
rnacentral:rRNA from 1 species